rnacentral:sRNA from 1 species
GGGGAGGCGAGCCGGAGCGACUGCGGGGCUGGGGCCGGAGCCGAGCCGGGGUCGGGCAGCAGCAGGGACCCCCAGAGGCGGGGCCUGUGGGACCGCUAUGGGCGUGGAGAUCGAGACCAUCUCCCCCGGAGACGGAAGGACAUUCCCCAAGAAGGGCCAGACGUGUGUGGUGCACUACACAGGUAAGCCUCACCCCCUCAGCCCCCACCCAGUCCUUCCCCUCCCAAGGCAGGGCUGUCCUCUGAGCUUCUCUCCAGAGGUGCCUGCCUCUGGAUCAGGCCUAAAGCCCAAGGCAGCAGGGUCUCCCUGUGACCAGCCAUCCCCUACUCCUGCCAGCCAGUCUAGUGGGAAUGAUAAAGGAGGCUUGGAAGGCCAACUCUUUCCCUCUUCUACCAGGAAGGGCCAUCCAUGGUGCCAGCUUCUAGGUGAGUCAAACACCUUCAGUCCCCUUCCUUCUGUUGCAGGUGUGGUGGAGCCCCUGUCCCUGCUGGGUCUGUCUGAUAUUUGGAAAUCCCUCCUAGAGCUCCCGGCAGACUUUCUCUCUAUCCUGCAGUAUCAUUAGAGAAGAAGAGGAAGGGAGAGGACAGACAAGUCACCCAGAGGCUCCGAUGCCAUUUGAGGGGUGGGGUGAUGGCAGUGCUUUUCUCUGGGUACUGAGGGAGCCCAGAGCGGGACUGAUCCCAGUUGGAUGCUCUUUAUCUGCAGGUGAGGUAGAGUGAGUUCUUCAGGACUGCUGGCAGGAAGAUCAUGAGCAGGUGUUUGUUCCAAGGGAGGUGAGCACCCUGCCUUGUGACCUGCUUCCUAAAGUGGCAAACUCGAUGACAGCCACUUAGCAGACAGCAAGCCCAGGAAUGCUCCAAAAUGGGAAGAAAUUUGAUUCAUCCAGAGACAGAAACAAACCUUUCAAGUUCCGAAUUGGCAAACAGGAAGUCAUCAAAGGUUUUGAAGAGGGCGCAGCCCAGCUGGGUCCUCUUUCUCCUCUCCCCAUCUGCCCCCAUCCCUGCUAGAUGAGCUUGGGGCAGAGGGCGAAGCUGACCUGCACCCCUGAUGUGGCAUAUGGAGCCACAGGCCACCCUGGUGUCAUCCCUCCCAAUGCCACCCUCAUCUUUGACGUGGAGCUGCUCAACUUAGAGUGAAGGCAGGAAGGAACUCAAGGUGGCUGGAGAUGGCUGCUGCUCACCCUCCUAGCCUGCUCUGCCACUGGGAUGGCUCCUUCUGUUUGGGGCUCUUGAUCAGUGUGCUAACCUCACUGCCUCAUGGCAUCAUCCAUUCUCUCUGCCCAAGUUGCUCUGUAUGUGUUCGUCAGUGUUCAUGCAAAUUCUUGCUUGAGGAAACUUCGGUUGCAGAUUGAAGCAUUUCAGGUUGUGCAUUUUGUGUGAUGCAUGUAGUAGCCUUUCCUGAUGACAGAACACAAAUCUCUUGUUCGCACAAUCUACACUGCCUUACCUUCACUUAAGCCACACACACAAGGUGCUCAGACAUGAAAUGUACAUGGCGUACACAGAGGGACUUGAGCCAGUUAUCUUUGCUGUCAUUUUCUCUCUUAUAAGUUCUGUUGGCUGCUCACUUAAACAAUGUCCUCUUUGAGAAAAUGUA